rnacentral:rRNA from 1 species
CUAACCUGGUUGAUCCUGCCAGUAGUCAUACGCUUGUCUCAAAGAUUAAGCCAUGCAUGUCUAAGUAUAAGCACUUAUACCGUGAAACUGCGAAUGGCUCAUUACAUCAGUUAUAGUUUAUUUGAUAGUCCCCACUACUUGGAUAACCGUAGUAAUUCUAGAGCUAAUACAUGCGUCAAGUCCUGACUGCGCGA